UGGACAGUGUGGGCAUGGCCCUAUCCCAGCCCACCUGAGGCCCUCUGCUCUAGGAAGCUCUGCAUGGGUUACCUGGGACUUCAUCUGCCUCCAGAGCAAACCCCAGAGCAAAAGGAGGCACUCCAAACUCAUGAUUUUUAGCUGUUUGAUGGAAAAAUGGAGACCAGACUGAUUUUUGGGACAGCGCUUCUGUUGAGGGUUAGAAUCAUAGAACCCCAGAAUGGUUUGGGUUGGAAGGUACCAUAAGAACCAUCUACUUCCAACCCUCUGCCACAGGCAGGGACACCUUCCACUAGGGAAGGAGAUGGGAGAUACUUAACACAGCUGAUCCUCAGGAUACAGGAAAGCAGCGAAGUUGCAGUUUAGGAGCCAAAAUUUGGCUUGUGGAUGUCCAAACCCAAGUGCUUCCCAACACCAGAUUCUCCUUCAGCAUCACUAUAUAACCUACAACCCCUCUGGAGUCACCAAACCCCCCUAGACCCACCACAAAACAACUUUUAUCCCUUUUUCCCCCCUCAAAACACAUACCACAAACACAGAUUUAAGCUGCAGCUAGUCUCGCAAACCAAACAAAACAAACCUAUGUAGGUACCUAAUUCUGUGUGGAUGCUGCUGUGGGGAAGGUUUUAGCAAACAAAACAAUGUAGAAUUGUCUGGUUUGGUAUUAAUCCUCAAAUCUGUGUGCAUGCAGCACUGAACCUCAAGUCCUGUUUUGGAGUGAACCAGAUCUGGGCAUGAGGCUUGAUCACACCCCGAAACAUGUGACAAAUAUAAGAUGGGAGGGAGCAAAAAACUGGAGCUUCAGCUUGUGCUGUAACCAUGGUUUUCCUGCAGGGCAGUUCCCAAAGGGAAGCCCAGAACUGAUUUUCUGUGAGCAGAGUUAGAAAUGUCAGCUGGUCCUCUGAACUACUGGAGAAUUUUCUCCAUGGUCGAGAGGAGGAUUCAUCUGUUGGCAGCUGAGCCUGGUAAGAGUCACAGGUUAUGCUGUGACUGCAGUAGAAAGGUAGGGGUUUAAUAAUGAGGGAAAAAUACUCAUUAGGCAAUUUAUAUUUGGUCCAAUCUGACUUUCCAGCAGUGCUGCCCUCAAUCCCCCUCUCUGAACCUUUCCCUCUGAGCUCAGGGUUGUGUUGAGGACAGUGUGGGCAGCAUGCUACCAAAGAUCCACCCUUCCUUCCCACAUUAAUCUACCUUUGGUCAGUUUGGAAGAAAGAAAAAGUUAGAAAAAGAUUUAAUUACUUUAAUAAAAUUGGUUUGCAUGUUCUUGCUCCCUGGGCUGUUGCUGUCCCUUCUCUUGUGUUAAAUAAGUCAAUGCACAAUAUUGCAUGACUGCCAUGUUCCUGAAUGUUUGUUGAGGUGUCUGUUCUUCAGGGAUGCUCCUUGCACUGGUGAGCAGCUGCGUGUCAGUGUGGAUAUAGAAAGUCUGAGAUAAUAACAGAAUAACUCAUAGCCCAGAAGUCUGCAAGACUUGAAAUUUAUUUAUAGUGAAAAUGCCAGGCUGCAAAGCCCUUUUGUCCAGGACAUCUCUGUCACAAAAUCCCCGCUGCAGUGACCCAGGAGUUCCAGGAUUCCCUAAAAAGCAAAGGAGUUGUGCUCUGAAGACCAAUUGCUUUGAAGACCAGUUUGGGCUGGUGAAAGAAUCCCAGACUGAUGUGGAUUAGAAGUGACCUUAAAGCCCACCCAGUGCCACCCCCUGCCAUGGGCCAGGACAGCUUCCACUAUCCCAGGGUGCUCCAAACUCCGUCCAGCCUGCCCUUGGACACUUCCAGGGAUGGGGGAAAAAGCUUUUUCUUCAGUUUACUUAAAGAAUAGAGAUUUUUAUUUGGCUUCAGCACUAGAUGGGGCUAAAAGACUAAAGAAGAAGGAAAUAAACCACUGGCUGAGCCAGUGAAAAUCCCCGGGAAAUGAGGAGGGAAAAGCCAGUGGGGGCAAAGAAUGUUGUUGGAGCCCUUUCACCAGCUCAGCUUUGUGACCAUGACUCUGCAGGUGUUGGGUUUCAGCAUUUGUGAGGGGUCAGUGAGAUGUUGUGGGGUGGGGUGAGGGCUAAACCAUGAGUAGGAUACUUUAGACAGCAGCCCUCAGCAGGUGGAUCCUGGUUUCAGACAAAUCUUUUCGCAGAGCCUUUCCCUGCAUGUUAUAAAGGGCCUUCAAAAACCAGCAGCUCCUCAGCUUUCAACCUGCACCAUCCAGGAAUAAUCCCAAGAGACACCACUGCAGGGGAAAAACACAAUUGUUGUGUUUAUGAGCUCAUUUUUGCAUGACUGGAUUUAGUGGUUUACUAGGUAAAAAAACCUGUUGGUAAUCAGGUAAAACAAGGAAAUAACACUUCAUUUUCAAGCACAAUAUCCCUGGAUUGUUACAGUUAAGAAUUUUAACUUCCCUUAUCCAUCCUACUGCAAAUUGUACUUAUCAAUCCUAUUGCAAACUAUUGUUAUCAAUCCUACUGUAAGCUAUCCUUAUCAAUCCCAUGGCAAGGACUUGCUGCUACACCAGAUUUUGCCCAUAUUAAGCCAAGUAUUUCUGUGUGUUCAAACAAAGAUUUCAGUAAAACUCAAUAACCAGCUGUUUUCUCAUUUGCUUCACGGGUGUAGAAACAUUUAAUGAAAUUGCUUAUGGUUUAGUGAUUUGUAUGACAUAAACAAUACUUCCCUUCUGUCAGACCGGGGCCAAUCUUAAAUUGCUUGAGGAUGUAAACAUGAGAAAACAAACCCAAACAAUUUAAAUUAAAUGCCUAAUGUACCUGGGUACAGAUUAUCUGCUCUGCUUCCAUCUUUCCUUACAAUCUUCUCACAGUGGGGGUUCCUAUUUGUUGUUCAGUGUUUUAUUGCAUAAAUACUUCAGUGCCAAGGAAUAGCACAGGGGUGAGGGGUGGGCAUUUUUGAAGGGCAGCACCAAAGAAAUCCAGAGUCCUUUUUUAAACCUGCAGCUUCAUCAUGGAAGAACAAAAUAUCCUGAGUUGGAAGAGACCCAUAAGGACCAUUUAAGAUGUUGGAACAAGCUCUGAGAGAAAAGACGGAAUCAAGUCACUGCAUGAGCCCACAGGAUGUCAAGAGAUGAUGUGGGAAGUGACAUCAGCUUGGAAAUGGAGUCUGGAAAGUUGAAAAUAGUCUAGCAAUCCCUUUUAACUUACUUCUCUUUUCUUUUCCUAAGCCUUAUAAAACAUUUCACAGUUGAAGUCAAACUCUGCGGUAGGAUUGAAAUGCCAUCAGUUUAUUGACUCUGCCAGUAUCACCCUUAAUCCAAGAGUGAUUGAAAGAAGUAUUUUGAGUGUGUCCUUUUACAAUCCCCUAUUAAGGGAUUCUUACAUUCUGUUUUAAAUUUGAAUAUUUCUCCUAAAUUUGUGAUUUUUUUUGUUUGUUUGUUUUAAGAUUGAACUGUGGACUUAGAGGUGAGGUGAAUUGCCCAAGGUGACAAAAUUCUGAGUCAAAGAGGGAACUAAAUACUGCUAGAGAAGGACUUCCAAUAAAUGAGAAUAUUUUUCAUAGAA